CUUCUCGAAACAAAAACCACA
rnacentral:snRNA from 1 species